rnacentral:rRNA from 1 species
UAGGGAAUAUUGCACAAUGGGCGAAAGCCUGAUGCAGCGACGCCGCGUGAGUGAUGAAGGCCUUCGGGUCGUAAAGCUCUGUCGCAAGGGAAUAAUAAACUGAAUGUACCUUGCAAGAAAGGAUCGGCUAACUUCGUGCCAGCAGCCGCGGUAAGACGAGGGAUCCUAGCGUUGUUCGGAAUUAUUGGGCGUAAAGCGGGUGUAGGUGGCCAUGUAAGUCAGAUGUGAAAGCCCAGGGCUUAACCCUGGAAGUGCAUUUGAUACUGCGUGGCUUGAGUGUGGGAGAGGAUAGUAGAAUUCCUGGUGUAGUGGUGAAAUACGUAGAUAUCAGGAGGAAUACCGGAGGCGAAGGCGGCUAUCUGGCCUAACACUGACACUCAGACCCGAAAGCGUGGGGAUCAAACA